rnacentral:lncRNA from 1 species
UCUGUUUAAGCCGGCCCUCACUUGACCCAAUCGAUGCUUUAACCUAAUAAGUUCGGAUGCGACUUAUUGACAAUACACGGGGUUAUAGUUGCAUCAUGCAGACAUGCAAGUUUAACCAAGUUUCAAAGAAGGCGGCUGAAUAGCCCAUGGAGUAUCCUCGCUUUCUGUAGGGCGGCUCCCACAUGACCCAAUCGAUGUUUUAACCUGGAUAAGUUC